rnacentral:rRNA from 1 species
AGUGAACGCUGGCGGUAGGCCUAACACAUGCAAGUCGAACGGCAGCACAGUAAGAGCUUGCUCUUACGGGUGGCGAGUGGCGGGCGAGUGAGGCGUGCAUCGGAUUCUACUUUUUCGUGGGGGAUAACGUAGGGCAACUUACGCUAAUGCCGAAUACGACCUACGGCUGAAAGCAGCGGAUCUUCGGACCUUGCGCGAUUGAAUGAGCCGAUGUCGGAUUAGCUAGUUGGCGGGGUAAAGGCCCACCAAGGCGACGAUCCGUAGCUGGUCUGAGAGGAUGAUCGGCCACACUGGAACUGAGACACGGUCCAGACUCCUACGGGAGGCAGCAGUGGGGAAUAUUGGGCAAUGGGCGAAAGCCUGAUUCAGCCAUACCGCGUGAGUGAAGAAGGUCUUCGGGUUGUAAAGCCCUUUUGUUAGGAAAGAAAAGCAGCAGAUUAAAACCUCGAUGUUCUGACGGUACCCAAAGAGUAAGCAACGGCUAACUUCGUG